rnacentral:lncRNA from 1 species
GUUUCCAGCACAGCAUGGAAGAGCAUUAUCCUGCUUUUGGGCUCUUACAGCGUCAGGGAUCCCUGCCAUCAGCGUGCUCCCUCUGGAGAGCAAAGCCACUGCAGCGUACAUCCCAAACCUGUCAACGAGUGGCAGGGGGUGGCACUGCCUGUCACAUCUCUGCUUU